AUACGGAGGGGGUUAGCGUUGUUCGGAAUUACUGGGCGUAAAGCGUACGUAGGCGGACUGGAAAGUUGGGGGUGAAAUCCCGGGGCUCAACCCCGGAACUGCCUCCAAAACUUCCAAUCUAGAGAUCGAGAGAGGUGAGUGGAAUUCCAAGGGUAGAGGUAAAAUUCGUAGAUAUUUGGAGGAACACCAGUGGCGAAGGCGGCUCACUGGCUCGAUACUGACGCUGAGGUACGAAAGCGUGGGGAGCAAACAGUAUUAGAAACCCUAGUAGUCC
rnacentral:rRNA from 1 species